rnacentral:rRNA from 1 species
AGUAGUUUGAUCCGUGGCUCAGGACGAACGCUGGCGGCGUGCUUAACACAUGCAAGUCGAGCGGAAAGGCUCCUUCGGGGGUACUCGAGCGGCGAACGGGUGAGUAACACGUGAGUAAUCUGCCCUUGGCUUCGGGAUAACUACCGGAAACGGUGGCUAAUACCGGAUAUGACCACUCCUUGCAUGAGGUGGUGGUGGAAAGUUUUUUCGGCCAGGGAUGUGCUCGCGGCCUAUCAGCUUGUUGGUGGGGUAAUGGCCUACCAAGGCUUCGACGGGUAGCCGGCCUGAGAGGGUGACCGGCCACACUGGGACUGAGACACGGCCCAGACUCCUACGGGAGGCAGCAGUGGGGAAUAUUGGACAAUGGGCGGAAGCCUGAUCCAGCAACGCCGCGUGAGGGAUGACGGCCUUCGGGUUGUAAACCUCUUUCAGUACCGACGAAGCGCCGAUGAUGGUGGUGACGGUAGGUACAGAAGAAGCACCGGCCAACUACGUG